rnacentral:tRNA from 1 species
AAGAAAUUAGUUUAAAAUAAAACAUUAACUUGUCAAGUUAAAAAUGUCCAUGCAUUUCUUU